CAGUUUAAACUAUAAAUAGAGCCCGCUAGCUUCUACAAAAUUAUAUCUCAUCAGCACUUGCCACCGCUAAGACAGUAGUAGGACUGGUACCAUGGCCAAAUAUCCAUACUCCUCCCCACCACCGCCGCCUUCACCGUGUAAUAACACAACUUCUCCGGUACUCCUUCCUCCACCUCCACCACCAGCAUGUAACCACACAUCUACUCCAACACUUUCACCUCCACCACAGUCUCACUACUCUCAUUCACCACCUUCUCUCUCAUCCCUAUCACCAACACCAUCACCAGCAUGUACGUGUAACGAAAAUACUACAACACUCCCACCUCCACCUCCACCACCUUCAUCUUACCCCUCCCCACCAUUAGCUUCACCGUCGCCACUGCCACCACUGCCACCACCUUCAACUCACUACUCUCCACCAGUACAUUCACCGCCGCCCCCAACCCCAUCAUAUCCGCCAUUGCCAUCGCCACUGCCACCUCCACAGCCAUCACCGCCACCACCCCCAUGUAACGAAACUACUGCAAUAGUUCCGACUCCANNNNNNNNNNNNNNNNNNNNNNNNNNNNNNNNNNNNNNNNNNNNNNNNNNNNNNNNNNNNNNNNNNNNNNNNNNNNNNNNNNNNNNNNNNNNNNNNNNNNNNNNNNNNNNNNNNNNNNNNNNNNNNNNNNNNNNNNNNNNNNNNNNNNNNNNNNNNNNNNNNNNNNNNNNNNNNNNNNNNNNNNNNNNNNNNNNNNNNNNNNNNNNNNNNNNNNNNNNNNNNNNNNNNNNNNNNNNNNNNNNNNNNNNNNNNNNNNNNNNNNNNNNNNNNNNNNNNNNNNNNNNNNNNNNNNNNNNNNNNNNNNNNNNNNNNNNNNNNNNNNNNNNNNNNNNNNNNNNNNNNNNNNNNNNNNNNNNNNNNNNNNNNNNNNNNNNNNNNNNNNNNNNNNNNNNNNNNNNNNNNNNNNNNNNNNNNNNNNNNNNNNNNNNNNNNNNNNNNNNNNNNNNNNNNNNNNNNNNNNNNNNNNNNNNNNNNNNNNNNNNNNNNNNNNNNNNNNNNNNNNNNNNUCAUCACCACCACCACCACCCCCGUCACCACCUACCCAACCGCCACCCUCACACCCACACCAUAAACAACCACCACCACCUGUAGUGCCACCAUCGUCACCACCACCUGUGACACCUACAUCACCUCCACCAUCUCAUCCACCGCCUUCACCAUCACCUUUACCACCUACUAUAUUGCCACCUUCAUCACCACCACCAUCACAUCCACCACCUUCAGUUCAACCGCCACCAUUAAGUCCACCACCUUCACCAUUACCACCUGCACUAACCCCACCUCCACCACCUUUACUGCCACCUCCAUCAAGUCCACCACCUCCAGUUUUGCCACCUUUACUGCCACCACCAAGUCCUUCUGAUAACUCAAUUGCACCGCAAAGUUCACCAUCUCAUAGCCAUCGCACAGCUUAUAUUGCCGGUUUUGUCUCUCUUGGUGGAUUGUUCUUUCUUGCAUUUCUUGCAGUUGGUCUCUUUUGCUUGCAUAAGAAGAUGAAAAAGUCAAGCGCGGCAUACGGAGGUCAAGGUCAAGGUGUUUCUCAUGCAGAGGAGCAAGGAGAAGCUCAUACCUUACAGAGCAUCCCCGCAGCUAGCCAGAGUGUAGCUGUCAACAUAGAUAAUCAAAAUCCGAAUGUUGAACCCAAACCUUAUGGAGGUGGUGAUGAGGAAGCACAAGAAGAUGAUCCAAAUGAAAGUCCUAGUCGUCGUAAACGUCGUGUUCGUCGUCGUACUAAAAGACAAGGUCAAAGAGACUCCAAUCAUGGUGACAACAUAAUUGCUGCAAUUGGUGCUGGUUCAAAUGAGGCAUUAGAAUCCGAGGACGAUGAUGAAGAAUCAGAUCAAUCUAAAGAUUCAGAUAAAAGUUCUCGUCGCCGGCGACGAGGUUCUAAUGGUCGCACCAAAAAACGAGAGCCUGAAAGAAAUCAGAAUCGUGAUCGUAAUGCUGAACAAAGUGUGCCUGUCACAAUUGAUGAUGAUGAAGAUGAUCCAGGUGUGGAACUAGAAUCACAAGAAGAUGACGAUAAAUCAAAUGGUUCUGAUAAAGAUUCUCGUCGUCGAAAUAAACGUGAUUCUGGCCGUCGUGGCCGUGCUAGAGAAAACAAAGGCAAAGAGCGUUCAACUGACCAAUGAUCGCAAAACUUCUUACUCUAUGGUCACUUGUUUUCGAUCUUCUUUAAUUUCCUGUUGAUUAAGUUUCUUUCUUGAGUAUUGUGCAGUGUGAUUGUAUUGAUUGUUUCGUUUAUUUGUUAUGAGUGAAAAUAAGAGUGAGAACUCAACCUCUAAAUACAUCUGAGUUUGCAAAGUUUUAACUUUUCGCUUUUAGAUGAUACAUUUUCAUUCUAAAUAUAGUACUCAUUCAAGAAUCAAUACUAGUAUAUAUGCUACACAUACAACUUAACCAUAAGUACAUAUACUCAGAGGUGCCGCUCUGAAAAACCCUAGAGAGAGAAAAGGCUGAGAUCGCGCCUGUCCGGCUGCGCAUCGACGAUGACACUGGCCGUCGGUCUUGCUGGAGCACGAUGUGGGCGGCCGGACGGGUUCUAGUGCCCAUUGAGAAGUCUAUGGUUUGGUGGCCGAGGUAUGGAGGUUUUGGCCCAUCGUCUUCUUUUGUGUCCGAUGCAUCAAGGAGGGGUUUUCGUCGAGGGAGGAGAUCGGUGCUGGGUUGACCCACCAUGGUGUAUGGCGGCUGUGCUACCACGGGUAGGUGAGGAAAGGAGAUCGAAGGGUGUCUGGGAUGGGUCACUUUCGGGUCUGGUUUUCAGAUCUCUAAUGUGGCCUUGUGGAUCGAACUUGUGGAGUAGAAAGGCGCUAUCCUCUGGUGGUAUGACUACGAUGCGACCUGGCUACGGUGGGGUUGGCUCAACAUCGGCGGGGGAGCGGUGGAUUUUCUGGCAUGAGGGUGCAAGCGAGACACGGAGUGUCUACUAGGUUGUUUUGCAUUUGCAAUUUUUCCGUACCUCACAACGUGGGUGGAUUAUGUUCAUGUUGUUACAUGCUCUUAAGUUGUAAUUAAUAAAAAUAGGCAUUUAACGUUUUUUGUUUAAAAAAAAAAACAUAUAUUUAUUAUAUUAUAUAUAUAAUAUAAAAUGAUAUAUUAACUAAAUUAUACGAUUAUUUAAAUGAGGGAUCUUUUUCUUCUGGCCAUUUUAAACAAUUAUUUGACUAAAUUUUAAUUACAUAUCGACAUUUCCACCUUUUAGUUGUUUGGGUCUAUAUGAGUAUAUAACUUAAAUAAUAAUCAAUAAGGUAUAUAUAAAAAAAUCACGACUCUCUCUCACGGCUAGGGUUAGGGUUUUUUUAGAAUAAUUGAUCGGUUGUCCGAUGUUGAAAACUACAUGUCAACCUUAGUUGCAUCAAUAACUGCUAGCCAAGCGUCCAAAUUUUCUCUCAAAUAGCAAGAAGAACUUGUGGACCUUGGGGAUCUCCAGUGCCUUGCAAAAGGGUAUGGGUGUCAUACCCUGACCCGGAUUAACCUUCUAAUCUCGAGUUAAGAUGUGUGUAUCACAUCUUAAUUAUAGAAUCGAGUUUCUAUAACCAAAAUGUGACAUAGAAAAUAAAAUAAAAAUUGAACUACUAGAUUCCAAAAUCUCACAAUUUUAGCGGAAGCAUAUAUUACGUAACAACAGUUUUACAUAGUACACUAGUACUCACUAUUUAAUCCAAAACAACCUAAAGAAAACACCAACUUCACUCCCUACUUGAUAAAGUUACACAAAAUGAACUUCCUCCUUUACUGUUCAAUACCUGCAAAAUCUGUUAAGGGGUGAGCUCAACCUGCGGCUCAGUAGGGACAUAAAACCUUUUUAUGGAUAAUUGAACACAAAGAGCACAAUUUCGUAUCUCAGUUACAACACACAUAUCACACAAUGAUGCAAUGCAACUCCACUUAUAUACCCGUUAAUCGAUAUGUCAGAAUACACAAGCCUACACGUCCCAUACUGUGUACUCUACAGUUUUACAACCAUGACUUGAAUAUCCAAACAUAUAAAUUAACUCCUAGACUCGAUCAGACCCCCAUACCCUCGUUUUGUUAGUCAUCUUGCCUGAAAACAUUGAUCUCCAAGCCCAAAUAUCGACAAUUAUACCGCUGAUUUUCUAGUCCUAAUGUGCACACGGGCUCGCCUGAGCUUGAUCCCUACAAUGUUCUUACUCAACUACAUAAAAGAUUACUCCUAAAAUCACUAUCCAUAAGUCCACCCCACUCCUUUACCCUUGAUGAAUAGCAUGCUAUAUGCAGACAUGCAUACUUAUAUGAAUCAACACAUAUCUUGUACAUGGAAUCUAAAUAUCAUCAAUGAAAUCAAGACAAACAAUGUUAACUAAAAUGACAUAACAACUAAGCACACAAAAUUAGUAUACAAUCAUAAAAAGUUCUCCCCAAGAUCCCCUACCUUUGUCGAUUCUCACAGCAAAUUCCUGACCAAGACAACAAGUACUUUUUAGUAAUGCAAUUCAUUAGUUUCAGUACUCGAAAAGGAUUUAACUGAUAAAACAUCUUAACAAACAUAAGAAGUGAGUUCCUUUCCAAAACAAGUUUACUGAACACAAAUAAAUACUGCAGUUUUCUGACCCAGUCACCUUCAGCACAAAAACUGUACAAAUCUGUAUGGAAUUUGACUUCGUGGUCUUCUAAAGUCUUGUAUCAGACACACUAAAGAAACAUUGAGAGUUGGAAUCACCAUAAAACAAUUUUUCUUGAAUUAGUUAUGAAUUUUCAAAGUUCACCUUCAGUUUCAGGUUUAGUUCUGAAAAUCUGCUGAUGUAUUCUAUACUUUGUAUUUGAAAGCAAAUCAGACACUAUGUAAUUAAAACUAUUGAUUACUGAAUAACAACACUUCAAUGUUCAGAACAAAGAAAACAAAGAUUGCACUCAAAAAGCCUAAGAUUGACACAAAGAUAGCCAACAGAAAAAUAAUAUGCAAUAGUCUAACUUCAUAAUAUUUCAGUAACUUUAAGCAAUCAAAUCCUUGAUUUCUACCUCACCAUUCUAGGAACUUAUAACAUGUAUAGGAACUUCACAAUCAAAUCUCAAUAUCUAUACAAUAUCAUACCAAAUAGAGUAAGAAUCAAUGGCAAACACUAAGACUAAAAACGUACAAAGGACUGAAAUCAGAAAAAUGACUUACUGGGUUUCUGACCAGAGAAAUCUUUGACUAAAAACGACACAGCUUGGCUGGGAAUUUCAAGUUGAUAUCUUCAUAAUAAUUGUGAAAGACAACCUAAAGAUCAUUUGAGUACUGGAAUCGCAGAAAAAAGAUUUUUCUACAAUUACUUAUGAUUUUUCAAAGUUCUGAUAUGCAUUUUGACUCAAAAUCUUGUUUCUCCUUUUCAAAUAUAGAUCCCAAUAACAACAAGAAAAUCCUAAUCACUUCAUACUAAUAUAAUCAUCUAUAUCAGGUACAUGAACAGAAAUCACAAACCCAAAAACUGACAAUUAUAAAGUCCUAAACAAUUUGGCGUACCAGCACAAGCCAAUACAAUUUUUAUCUGAACACAAAUAUAACCUAUAAUUUCAAAAACAAACUAACUAAUAACUCUUUAACAAAACAUGUCAUCUGCAAGAAUAAAUAAGUAAUUAUAUAGAUCAAGUAAAAGAUCAAUAAGUCUAAGAACAAAAUAACUGAAUUUGAAAAGAAAACACACCUCAAUUCACGCUCUCUCACUUUUUGGGUGCUUAACAGACUAAGACGAACUAUGUCAAGAACACAUGAAUCUCACCCUAUUUAUAAUGUUUGGAACGUGGAGUCCAAGACAAGAACAAAGGAAGCAAAAUUGGACACUCCAAUCCAAUUCCUAUCCAUCUGAAAACUUAAUCUCCAAGGAUUUUGAUACCUCCUAUUUAUCCAUGGCGGUUGCCAUUGUUUAGGUUUUUCUAGGACGGUCUUUAGGUUUAAAGAUGCAAGGUUUCAGAUUGGGAAACAUCUGGUCGGGAGGAAGAAGAAGUUACUGCUAGGUUUCUUUGAGGCGGUUAGAGAAAGUUUUCAGAUUGGGAGAAUAAGAGAAAGAAGAAGUCAGUCAGGGAGAAGAAGACGAUGAAAGAAGUUCGGGCAUCGUUCUGCAAAUUUGCUUGACAUCAGCCUUUUUUUUCUCUUAAAAGCUAAUUCAUACAUUUGGGCUCGGGUCAAGGUUUUAAACAUGGGCUAAAAAUUCUCUACUUGAACCAAAAUAAAGUGAAAUAAAACCAGACUAAUUCAAAAUGUAGAAAUAUAUAUACAUAUAUUCAAACACAAAGACACCAAACAGUAAAAAAAAUUAGAGCAAAAUAAUAUAUAUAUAUAUAUAUAUUUUCGAACUGAGUCGUCACAAUGUGGCUCUGAGAUUUUACCUGGUAGGCUGCAUGCCUUAACACUGCAAGGGCAAUGCUCUUUGAUUUGUUUCACAACGUAAUGCGCUCUAUAUGGUGGCUGCCGACCCAUGUGGAAGUUCAAGCCUGAGAAGAUCGUUUCCUCUUCACUUUUAUGAGUGAGGGGGGUGUGAAUCGUGUGUGGAGCAUAGUGCUACUACCAACGUGCCAUGAUCUUGUUGAAUGACUAUGAUGGUUUUUGACAUCAAGGUAGUUCCGAUGAACUUUGUGUGGAUUUUACAAGAGAUCCGGGGCCUCCUGGUUGCACUUACGACUGUGGCUACUACCUGUAGGCUGGUGGGCGAGACAAUUGGACCAGUCUUGCAGGUCGAUGAACCGAGUAAAAACUGCAUGUUAGUGUGCGUCCGUGUUACCUUUCCUCUGAAUGCCCUUGUGCGUCUAGACAAAAGACUUAGGGUUUCUCCAAUUGGUGUUAUUCAAGUCAAUUAAGGUCAAGUACGAACAACUUCUAGGGAGAUACACGGACUGUAUGAUGAUUAACCAUGGAGAACUGUGUUGCCCUAGACGUCUGGAAGUCACUCCGGUGUCGACUCCUGCGCCUGUAGCGUCGUCGAUGGUUUUUCGGACGUUCACAUCUAUCUCAGCCAUACUUUCGGUGCCUCCAAUAUAUCCUUCCCUAAAGAGACAAUGGCAGUUUCCCUCAGUUCUCUUCCCCCACCAAGAUUAUUAGGGUGCAUCAUGGAAGAGAAGAUGAAGAUUAUGGUGAGGGCAAAAGACCUAAACAUACCUUCGCAUUAGUUCCCAUGCCAUUGAACUCGAAGGAGGUGGGUUUCUCAGUUACUAAUUCUUGGGUACUUGGUAUCAGAAAGACUGGUAAGUCACCUAAGAAGAGAGGACGUCCCCGCAGCAGCUGCAAUAAGAAGAAGUUGUUUGGUGAAGCUUCUGAAGUCUCAAACUCCAUGGCUCCUAGCUCAUCUGGUUUUCUGCAAUGGCUGUGAACGGCCUUGUUUCCGAAUAGUUAUCCUAGUGCUAGUUACUAGGAAAUAUCCUUUCAAACCCCAAUCAUGCUCAACCUUUUUGUCAUCAUGAUCUUCGAUUAAUAGAUUUAUCUCUUUUCACCUAAAAAAAAAAAUUNUAUAUAUAUAUAUAUAUAUUAAUCGCUAAGGUAUCAAAUUACAUUAAAUUAAGAAAAAUGCUAGAGACCCGAAAUAAUUUUACCAAUAUUAAUACCAAAUGAUGUGGCAUGUGUCAUAUCAUCAAACUAUUUAAGCAUGUAUAUUCUUAUUUUAUUUCUUUUGUUUCAAAUAAAAAUAUAUCAGUAAUUAAAAUUUAUUAUUAUAUGAUUAGAAAAAAUUGUAUAUGAUUAACAACAACCAAAGGAAGAAAGAACCUUAAUCCAACCCUUUCAAUUGUGGAUACUUCACGAAAAGGCCAUCAGCCAAAACUAGAACAACAAAAUACAAAAUCAUGUAUGGCUUGGUUCAUUAGUUCAUUGGUAAUCGAAUUAUGAUCUAUUCUAUAAGUCUCGUUCAAGUUCCAUUUUUUAUCUACCUUGACCAAUUUCAAAACAUACGUCAUGAGGAACUUACCUGAAAGAGAAGUAUAUUAGAUCAUUGAAUUGGCCAAAAGUAGAAAAUCAAUCAUACAAUAUAUCAAUUUGUUAUAUUGAAUGACACCAACAUAUAGUAGUGGUGUGGUAGGAUAAUCAAUAAGGUUUUGCAAUCUGGGAAUAGACAAUGACGUUUUACAAUUGAUAGCCAGAUCCAUCUUUACUGGAUUUCAUAUGAAUUUAACAAAAGUUCUUAUUUUGAGGGAGAAAGAAAUAGUUAUAUUAUUCUACAUGCAACCUGCUGGAUUUGAUGCAAGUGUUUCACGCUGUUGUUCUUGUCUAAAGGAACUACGGCAGCGGCAGAUUUGGUUGUUUGGUGAACUAUUUGUGUUUUCUUUUUUAAUUAUUUUGUUGAUUAAUUGGUUUCUAAAUAAAAUCAAUGAAAUUGCUGGAAAUUAUUAAAUUAGAUGUCAUGACACAUAAAACGCCAAAUCAUAGGCCACAUCAUUUUGUAUUGAGUUUUGGUAUAAUUUUUUGGUGUCUGUAGCAGUGCUCUUAAAUUAAUGGACAAACCAUUACUUGAUCAAGAAAAAAAAUAGACGAACCAAAUUUGUCAAACCUGAACCGUUCAUGUUUAUAAUUUUAAUUAAAAUUUUGAAUACAUUACUGAUAAGAGGCAUUAUUCAUUGGUCUUGGACCAUAGCUGAGUUGGUGGUCCUAGCCAAUAAACAUAAGACACGUAUACAAUUCUUUAUUUUGAAUCAGAGUUAAAUUUUGUUGGUUAACUCUGACAAUCUGUGUAAUUUUAUCUUCAAAUUCUUCUUCACUCUUCAUGGCCUGAUAUUCCAAAUCACAAAAGUCCUCAAUUUCUCUUCCAUUUUGUUUCAUUGGAUCUUCUUCGUCAAUCAUUGGUUUAGCAUAUAAUGAUUUUUUAAUUUUUAAUUUUUCUCAAUAAUCAUGGUCUUCUUCAAAUCACGUUUACCAAUUUUUCAAUAAUUUUUCUGGAUUUUCAACAUAGUUGUUGUUGUGUUUAGGAAAAUCCCAAAAGGUGAACUCCUAAUUGGACCGUACCUGGCUUGAAGAUCUCGCUGGAGAGCUAAUAGACCUAAUACACCUCAAAAGCAAAUCGGAGUCUCUUGGUUGAGACCAUAGUUUGGUGGUUUGUCGGAAUGAAGUAGGUCGCCAGCUUGAUUGUUGUCAAUAUGGGUAAUCAAAUAAAAGGAGUUUGUAUCGAUUACUUGUGGUGUGCAGUCAUGAGUCUUUGUGGGGAAGAAGGAUAGAGUACCUAGAGAAAAUUUGGGUAUCUGUAUAUCAGCACGUGAGUUGGCAUUCGAUAUCGUCGGACGACCACAAAGGUAGGAACAGACUCGUCGGAAACCGAUAAGUCUAGUAGUGUCGGAGGUGGGUCACGGUGGUGCUCAAAAGUUGAUGGUAGAGGAGAGAGCGAGGGAAACUCAUAUCUACUAAGUAUGUAUUUGAUUGAUUAUAAGGAUGAGCAGAAAGUGAAUGGAUAUAGCUUGGCUGGUAUUCUACUUAAGUAUAAAGAGGGCAAACUUGAGUUUCCCUCUUCUUCAUGAGAAUGGGUGAAUGUGCCACUCCAUUAGUUCAUUCCAUAUGAACCAUGAAAUUCUUGUUUCCCAUAGUAGACCAUUAAGGCAUUAACACCGUUUUCUCAAACGUCAAGUGAGGUUAGUGAUGUGUAAAAAAGAAGCCCACAUGUCCUAAGCUUAUUCCACAUGAACCAUGAAGUUCUUGUUUCCCAUGACAAACCAUUAAGGCAUUAACGCCGUUUUCUCAAACGUCAAGUGAGGUUAGUGAUGUAGUAAAAAAGAAGCCCACAUGUCCUAAACUUAUUCCACAUGAACCAUGAAGUUCUUGUUUCCCAUGGCAGACCAUUAAUACAUUAACGCCGUUUUCUUAAACGUCAAGUGAGGUUAAUGAUGUGUAAAAAAGAAGCUUACAUGUCUUAAGGUUAUUUGCUGGGACCACCAGCUCAGCCAUUGUUUAGACCAGUAAAUAAUCAUAAUUUGUUUUUUUUUUCUUUUGGGUGCUUAUAUUCGUACUUCCAGAAUUUAGACCCCUUAUACGUCCAAUUAAUAUAGUUUUUUUUUAUUAUUACUAUUAAUAUAUUAUUUUCUUGUUAUUAACACAUCUUAUUUAUUUUUCUAUGUCGAUUCUUUGAGGGUCAAAGUUCCGUUGCUGUUCGACCACGGAGGCUCCCCCUCCGCCUCGUCGUUUCGGUUCCAGGGGCAUUGUGAAGGUCUCUCCCCUAGGGUUCGAUACGGCGGCGGCGAUGGGUUUCAGGUGGUCGGCUGCCUUUCGCAGAUCGGCAAACGGGGGCCCUCAAAUUCGAUCCGCCUAGCAACCAACGCUGCUUCGCUCCUCAAAGUCCCGCCCAGAGGUAANNNNNNNNNNNNNNNNNNNNNNNNNNNNNNNNNNNNNNNNNNNNNNNNNNNNNNNNNNNNNNNNNNNNNNNNNNNNNNNNNNNNNNNNNNNNNNNNNNNNNCUGCAGUCAGGAGCAUUCAGAAUGUCGAGGGAAGGCUUUGUGCUACUUGAGUUUGGUCCUACAGCAGGUGUGCGUGUGUGUAUGAUUGGAGCAGAAAGCAGGUGAUCGAUGUGUGCACAAUUUUGUUAGUACUUAGUACCAACACUGAAUAGUUUGUGGAAUUGUAGAAUUUGUUCAUUUUAUUUAUAAGAUUUGAAGGUCAGGGAAUUGUUCUCAAAGUAUGAAACCUGAAAGUAGUCAAUUAGUCAUUAUCAAUCAAGUUACUUUCUUUUAUUGUUUAUGGCUUACCUCAUAAACCCACAUUUUUAGGCCUUGAAAUGGAAGUGAGAAUUCAAAUGUUACCAAAUUGAUUUAUAAACAAUGCUUCCAUUUCUGUGCAUACUGCAUAGUUGAGGUCAAUUUGGUUUUUAGUGAUUCUUUUUGGUUUACCUUGCUGAGGUUAUCAGUAUAGACCAUUAAUGGCACCCCAUUUGUAUUACAGGAGCUAAAUAAACCUGUUGAUACACUCAAGCAUGUGGGAAUCACUGGCCCAGUGGUAUGUCAUCACCUAAGUGCUUAAGUACAAGUCUUUAACCUAAAUUUGUUCUCAAAUUUCAGUUUAUUGCAACUUCAUGCAGGUAGAACACAUAGAAGCGCGACUAAAUGAAGAUAUACUAUCUGAGGUCAGAUGAUCUGAUGGCCGUAUGCUUUUACAUCGGGAGGAGUAUAACCCUUUGUUGAACCGAUCCAGUGUCAUAUAUAGGAUACUUGGAAAACAUCUUUGCAGAUGAUGUGAAGACUCCAGCUGAAGUAUAUGCUUCUUUGAAAGUUGAGGGUUACAAUAUUUCGUAUAGGAGAAUCCCAUCAACUAGAGAGGCUUUAGCUUCAAAUGUGGAUGCAAUCUAAUACUGCAUCAAUGAGUAAGUAUUUAUCUCUGGCAUGCUCUCUAUCAGUUAACUUUUGUACCAAGCUAUGAAAUAUUUGUCAGAGAUAUCAUGUUAGCCAAGCCACUGAAACAAAUUGAGAAUGGAAAGUAUGUAAACAUGAAUUUCCACCAGUAUAAUCUACAACAUAUGCAGCUUCCAAGUAUAAUGUUGAAUGUUCUUGACCAUCUUCCAGUAAAAUAAAUGUGCCUCAGGAUUACUGUGUUUCCCUAGAAGGUUGCCUAGUUAAGGACCUGUUCUUUAGAUAAAAUGUUGGGAUGAGGGCGGCUUUUCUAAUUAUUUUUUUAUUUAAAAUUUUCAUCGCCAACCAGGAGUCAGAGAUUUGUUAGUGAUGGUCAAUUUCCAUCAUGAAGUUGCACAAUUAAUUUCAUUUUUCUCUUUUUGGUGUAUAACUUUGGCAUGUUAAGGGUGAUUGAUAUGUGAUUUUCAUUCAUUAGGUUUGUAGCAAGCAUGAUUCUUUUAAUCCCAUGUGUUGGUAUUUGAUUUCUGAAUCUGUUUCCAUUUAUUAAAUAUUAUAAUUUGAUACAAAUAAUUUUUUACUGUAGCUUGGCAGGAUCGUACCUUUUUGUAUCACAUACGGGGUUUGGAGGAGUUUCAUAUGCAAUGGCUAUCACUUGUGUUAGACUUGGUGCGGAAAAAAAAAUUUACACCCAUGGAUCUACAACGUUUGGUUAGAACAACUCCAUCGUAUACAGCUGAAGAAGACUUGCCUUCUUGAGUUUCUGGUGAAGAAGUUCUGAGAAUGGGUGACUACCAUGACAUACUAAGCCUUACAAGGAUUCUUGUUUAUGGUCCCAAGAGCAAAGCAGACGUUGACAGUGUUAUGGAAAGGUAUGUUAUCUAUUAGAUAUUCUAUGGUGGAGUUUAUCUCUGAAUGUUAGUACUAUCUGCUUGUAUAAGUAUUUAUAAAAUAUUGAACUGAAAAUGAAGGGUGAAACUGUAGAAAACUCAAUUUUUAUUUUUCAUCUGUGACUUGAGAGGAAGGAUAAUCCAUGAUUGAUGGUUGUGUUCUGUUUUAUCAUUAAUGCAUUUACUUGGAUUUUUCUCUUGGUAUACUGUUUCCAGAGUUGCUUCUCUAUAAAUGAUUUUUAAGCUGCUAGUUGGUAGCUUAUUAUAUGUGAUUGUUCAAUUAUAUGCAUUUACAGGAUGAUAUUCUUUAUUAUAGUAAGGAACUUGAGAAGUUCCCUGACGGUGACGAUGAGCAACGUGCGAACCUCAUGGACAUGGGUUUUAAAGCUCUAGGUAAAUCUUAUGUGCCUUGGUAUUUAUUUCGCCUUCCUAAAUUGCUUGUUGUGUGGCUCUGUUUUCUUUGUUUACUGGAACUUAACAGACCACUGGUACUGAUUAUUGAUGCAUGAGUUCAACUUGUUAUAUGUUUAUGAAUCGCUAAUUACUUUUCACGACAUUGACCAGUGUUAGUGAGUUCUGCAACUCUCCGACCAUUGUAUCAUUCUUGUCCAUGCCAGAUAAGAUGAUCGGGGAGAUAUCAAUGUACUGAACUAGGCAUGUCUUGGUUAUUUUGCACUAAGUUAUGAUAGCUACAAGUAUUAUCCUUCUGCUUGUCUUUUACGGAUCAGUGUCAGCUUUCACUUCCUUCUACAUUAAGCUUAAGAGUGUUUAGCCAACCAUCCAUUUAUAAUGUUCAUUCCCUUCAACGUACUGCAUAGAAAGUCAUUGACUGUAAUCGAGCUCUUUUAGCUUGAAACAAAUUUAGAAGUCAGAUGCGGCCUAGUUAUUUUUUUAUUCCAUUUAUUAACAGAGAUCCAAAAAGCAUUGCCAUUUUCAUGUUACUAAAUGCAAUUCAAAUGUUUAUAUAACUAUUUAAUCAUCUUGUAUUUCCAUAAUGCAGGAGAUGCAUCACAUUUAGGUCCCUACCUCUACUGCACUAUACUAGCUGGAGGAAUUCUUCCAUGGGGCGUGCGACCAACCAAUCAAGAGCUGACACGUAUGACAUUUUUUCCAUGUCAGUAUUGCUGAGAAAUGCUCCAAAUAUUCAAUUAAACUUUCAAUAUAUCGUGAGUUGUCGCUGACUUCGUUCUCCCUACUCAAUUUUAAUUCACCAAAACACAAUUUUAAUUCAAGGCACGUCUCGAUCUUUUAUCUGACUCUUUUGAUCAACAACCCAUUCCUUCUAUUCCAUUCGAUUUUUUAGAUAAAUCACACAAAGCUUCGACCCAUUAGUUAAUUCGUUCUUGUCGUAAGGUAGAGCAGUAUGUUGCCGAGGUACGGUAAUGGUAGAGGCGAUGGUGGUGAAGAUGGAGAGGUGACGUCUUGGUGGAUGCGAAUAGGUUGAGGAGUGUUGGUAUGAUUUUGAGAUUGUGUAUUCUGAGAUUGUGUAUUCUUGGCAAUACUGGAAGAUAUUGGUCUGAUUUUGACAUUGUGUAUUCUUGGCAACAAUGGAAGCUUCCAGUAUAAAAUGAUUUACAUACUUUUGUUCUCUUCUUUGAUCCAACUACUUAUUGAUGAUCAAUGGGUUAUGUGUCAUAUGAUCGAAGAUGUUAAUUUUUUAUUCAUCUCAAACCUUUUGUGUAUACAUGAUCAAUCUCUUCUGCAAGCACAGAACUCACAGAGAAAAAGAAAAAAAAACUGAAGAUUGAAAAUCCAACAAGAGAAAGAGAAUUAACUGCCAAUGAAUGAUCAACUAAUGGGUUGAGAAUGGGAAUUUUGGCACAGGUGCUCAACUAUUUCGGACCUGGAGUUUAAUUAAAGGAAAUGAAAUUCACACAUUUUAAAUUAUAAUUUACGCACUUAUUUUUUUUCUUUAGUAACUUAAAUUUUGUCUUUCAUAUGAGAAUGAUUACUAAAAAUAAAAAGUGGGUAUGUGAAUUAUAACAUGAGGUGUGUGGAUUUCACAUCUCUAAUUUUAAAGCUCCAAAUAAGUUUCUGAACUUGAAAAAUGAAAACAACAUUGUUUUGAACAUGCAGACAAGAUCAAAGUUAAGUUUUCUAUGGUUAUCGAUCGAUAUUUUCUCACUGAUCGGAAUUAGAACACUUUCAUCAGAUGAUUCAGAUCGCAUCAAACGCACCCUUGAUCCGUUCGAUCGAGUGCCCUUAAAGCUAGGGCAAUGAGUAAUCCUCUACAAUAAUUGGAUUAGUGGGUCAUUAGUAAGAUCAUGGCUUAGUAAUUAACAAUGCUCUACAUGAUUCCAAAGAUACUUUUGCUUUCACUAAACAACACCCUUUUCAGUUUUCGUUCAUUGUCCUCACUCAUCACGGGAGAAAAAAAAAAGUUGUUACAUUUGAUUGGAGAGAUCAAACGCAGCCAUUGUUUAUUAGUAGUGAAUCAAUAAUGGAGUGUGUCAUGAUGCUUAAACUAAACAGUAAAGAACAAUAAUCUUGGACUUGUCAUCAAAUCCACAAGAUCUGCAGAUGCAUGCAUCUCUUUGUGAAGUGGAAAAUGGGGGAGCUCGGAGACCAAAGAUAUUGCAAGGAGAGAUUAAUUAAUGGUUGUGAAAUUCACAUAUCUAAAAUUGAAAUCCAUAUAUUUUUUUUUUUUGUUUAACACAUUCACAAAAAGAUAAAGUUUAAGUCACUAAUAGACAGAGUUUAAGUUAAGGAAAAAAAGUGUGUAGAUUUCAAUUUAAGGUGUGUGGAUUUCAUAUCCCUUAAUCAAAAGAUAAUUUUUGUGAAUCUGAAAAUGGAAGGAAUGGGAAGAGGGAUGAAUUGAGAAGGAGACCUGCAACUCUAAGCAAUACUGACAUGGAAAAAAAAUGGCAUACGUGUCAGCUCUUGAUUGGUUGGUCGCAGAAUCCACAUGGUGCGUUUUUCCCACGGAAGAAUUCCUCAGCUAGCUGAGAUAAAAUUUAAAUCAUGGAUGAACGCAAGGCCUGAACUAGGACACUGUGUGUAACGACAUUAGGAUCUAUAAGUGUAAUCGGUAGUCGAUAAAUACCUUCCUUGACCCACGAUUCUAUGAGACCCAGCAUGAGGUAGAUCGAACAAGCCUCAUCCUGGAGGCCACAUCAAUCUGGGCCGGGAGGGAGGCAUUCCGUAGAAGGCCAAAUGCAGACCUCAGCAAUAUAUUUGUUCCACAUCGAAUAACAGACAAGAUAUAAGUCAACGCGGGGCUAUAAAUACAAUGCUGAAGUCAACCAAAACGAUAAGAAAAUCUCCUAGCAUUAAAUACUAUACCUGCCAACACAACUGACUUAAUUAUCAGAGAGAGAAAGACCGGAAAGUCCCGGUCAAUCUCCUCUUGCAGGUAUCCAGUCUACGGCAAUUGAAAGAGAAGAGAUCAUGUCUGAGCAUCUUCAAGGUCUACGAAAUCUUGCGGAAACAAUAAGUAAAUGCCCCAAGUAUUUAUGUACAGUUGGCAAUGCUGUUAUAUGUUCUCAUUAAUCCAAUAUCAGGUGGGCGUGCCUGUGGAUCCCAAUCUGAAGGAUCACACAUGUUUCUAAUCUUCUAUGAUGAGAACCUUUCCUUAUAUUGUUGUUGAAUUGAUAUUAUAGUAAAUAGAGGAACCCACAAUGUCUAAAAAUAGUGCAUCGCUGCCUUGGUUGAAAGUUUGCAACAAUUGUGUUUUUACAUCCUCGUAGAGAAUUGUCGUAACGCUAUUACCUACACUACAAGAAACAAAUAUGGCUAUGGUUGAAAAUCACGUAUUUCGGGUAACGUUUGGUCUCGAUAAAAACGGUCAACUCUUUUUAUGGUUGAUCUUUCCUAUGGGGAGCUCUAUCGUCAGGAUGUAAACGUCUCCAAAUUUUUACAUGUGUGGUUAGGUCUCAUUCAUGUGAGAGUUUAAUGUGUGUAAGAAUAGACCAAAAUAGGUCACGGAGAGAUAGAUAUGAGCGUUUCCAUGUAAUAAGUGACGAUGGAUUAUGGUUGACCGCUUUAAUCAAGUCCCGAAUAAUCAAGUCCCGAACGUUGCCGAAUCAAGUUCAAUCAAACAUCAUCAAACUAACAGGUUCGUUACGAAAAUUAGACAGAGGUAUCUCAAGACGUCUAAAUCAUUGUUUGGGUAUCACAUUGAUACUUUUUAGAGUUAGGAUUUCAAGUUGGCCUUGACAUAAUAGUUUAUAGAAUGUUGCUGAAUUUUUCUCUUUUCGAAACAGAGAGUUGCUUGCAUGCUUUUAAAAAAUAGAGAAUCAUUGUACUAGUCAACUAUAUGUCUAUAUCCGUUUGAAAAUUCUAUCCCCCAUAUCCGACACUAUCUCUCUGCUAAAGAUAAGGAAAUGUGCUCUCCAACAUUUUUGACCCCAUGCCAGCUAAUACCUCUGCUUCCAGUCGUCUAACGCUUAAACACGCCGGGGGAUCUUUCAUCAUCUUAGCAAUAAUCGUAUUACGUCAGAUAAGCUACGCCAUAAUUUGAUUAGGAAAUAUGGGAGCCCUUCUAGUGAGGACUCUUAAGUUGAAGACUUGGUGAAGACUUUUCGGUUUAUGGUUUAAAAGACCCAAUUUUCGAUCAAAUUUUAACAUCUUAUCCGUUCAGUUUUUAGGUUUAUAUGAGUAGAUCAUUUUUACAAAUUUUCACCUAAAUUGGUGUUCGUUAAGAUAACAAACUAGAUCAAAUAAAUGGACGAACCAAAUCUGUCAAAUAUGAACCGUUCAAGUUCAUAAUUGAUAAAUCUCAUUUAUGAAUGUCUUAACAAUUUUCAAUAUAGCUGAAAAUUUGAAGAAAUGAUCUACUCAUAAAUACCUAUAAACUGAACGGUCAAGAUGUAGAUAUAAGAUCAAAAGGUGGGAUAAGCCGAAAAGUCCUCACCAAGUCCUCAACUUAAGGGUCCUCACUAGAAGGGCUUCCUAGGAAAUAUAUCUCUUCAAAAUUACAACGUACAAUAAGUUAAUUGAUAAGAAAGUCAUGGAGUGCAAAGUAUUACAUGUAACAUAUACGGCCCAAAAAUACGUACAGGUGGAGUAAAGUCUCUUUGAGAUAUUCUUAAAACAUUAUUCACUUAGAGCAUCUUUAACAACGCUAGUCAUUUUUAAGUUAAAUUUUAGUCAAAUUAGUUAUAAUAUUAUUUUGGCUAGCCCCUUUAGAAAUGUGGCUGCAUCAAUGCUCUCUAUUUUAGCUAACAUUACAUCAACAUUAUUCUUCAAAUAGAAAUUAAAUAAUUUAAAUAUAUUUAUAUAUCACAUAAAACAUCUUACAAGAAAUGUAUUAAAUUAUAGCUAGCCUCAUCUGAGUCAUUUCGCUAGCUAAAUAUAGCUAGCGAGAUAGCUAAAAGUCAUAAUAACUAAAGUUUAGCUAGUCUGCUGGAGCUUCUAAAACAUCAAAAAAUGUUAAACACGCUCUCUAAAAUAGCUAAAAAGUUAAAAUAAAAAGUCCGUUAAAAAUGCUCUUAGUCAUAAAAAAAAAACCACAUUAUUCUCUGAUCUACAAGUACAGUGGCCGGGUGGGAAUAACUCAUGGAUGACCAAUUCAAAAAGCCAAAGAAGUAAACAAUGACCGCUCGUUUGUUGUUUCAUUCUCAGUUCCGUCGUUUUCACUUUUCUUUUUAAAAAAGACCCAUCCAUCUUAAACACCAAAUGUUUUUCCUCUUUGGACUGAUCGAUUACUUUGAUACCCCCUUCAUUUCCCGGAGCCCCAUCUGCUUUAGUAAACACAUGCAUCCAAAAUUUCUACUACUUUCUAGUGACUGGUGUUUGCUACAAAUUGACCUGAUUUCUUCGAUCUAUUUCAAUAUGAACGGUUUGAUUUUAACUCGUUUAUGUUUGAUUCUGAUGUAGCGGAAAAUAGACUUGAAUCCACAAGUCUUAGUUUGCUCGAAUCCACGACAGAAUAUAUAAUCCACUAGAGAAUUGAGAUAAACUCAAGAUUUUUAUUAAUAUCAAAUAUUGACAACUACAAGAGAUUAAGGUCCUUAUAUAAGAAAAUAAACCCUAUGACAACUAACAACCAAAUCUAGGGCUGGGCACGGGACGAGAUUUGGUGAAUCCCGUCCCGUCCCAAAAAUAAAAGAACGGAACGGGACAGGACGGGAAGACGAUUUUAAAAAUCUAUCCCGUACGUCCCGAUCCCGAUAGGGACCGGGACGGGAUCGGGAUCCCGACAAAUUAACCUUAAAACAACAUUAAUGAAAUUAAUGAAAAAAAAAAUAUCCAAAAACACACAAACAAAAAAAAGAACAUUGAUGAAAUUAAAAGUACUAAAAUGAACAAGAACAUAGGUGCAUAGGUGCUAAAUUACAUUCCACUUUAAAAGUACUAAACAUCUCACAUUAAAAAUUAACCCUCAAACAACAACUAAAAAUAUCCAAAAUCACACAAGCAAAAAAAAAAGAACAUGAAUGAAAUUAAAAUUAAGUAUUAUUUUAGACCAAAUUAAGUGUGGUUGAGUGCAUUGUAACACUAUGCAAUCUAAAAAAUCAAGUAUAAAAUGAAUAAAAUCAAGUAUUCUAAUAUUACGGGACGGGACGGGAUUUUUCGGGAUAGUCUCGUCCCGUCCCGUCCCGUCCCGUUAUGGUAAUGUUGAAACGGGACGGGAUUGCUAUUUUCAAAACCUAUCCCGUCCCGUCCCGUUAACUUUCGGGACGGGACCGGUAUGGGAUCGGGAUUCCGGUACUAAGUGCCCAGCCCUAACCAAACCUAAAAGCCCAUGGAUUACAAAGAAAACUAAAUCCAAAACAAACUUAGAAAAAUAAAAUACUAAAACAGGCUUUGAGGCCCUAAACGGACUCAGAUGGCCGAAAAAGCCCAUACGUCAAGACAAAGCGUCGAGUUUGACUCAUAUCGCCGUUCCGCUUCCGGAAAUGUAUUAUAACUAGCAAUUGGACACCGAAUGUCAAAUUUAGAGCAAACCGGGUUUGGACUUGCAACAAUUAAUAUGUUCUUCAAUCUUUAUCAUCAUGUGUUCACCAUCAGAUUCUUUAAAGAGUGAAACCAAAUCUUUGCUUGACUAUAUGCUCUGUUCGUAAACCUCAUGAUCCUAUUUAAUCACCAGACAACUCCCUUUAGGAUUUGAUUUAUCAGCACAACUGAUCAUAUAAUCAGAUAGCUAGCUUAGGCUCAUCUCCGGGCUUUUUUGAGUUUCUCAAUUAAACGUAAUACCCCAUUUGCUUGAUUAAAGGGACUUGACGAAGACGAUGCGGCUUUAGAAGUUAAAGGGACUUUUUGAGAGCUUGUUUGAUUGGUCUGACCCUCCAGACUUUUAGAAGUUGAGAAAAUUUUAUAAAGAGUACCCCAAAUAAAGUCCCUUCGUCACUUUGGUACACCACUUCUGAAAACUAUCAUGUUCAUUCCUCAACAAUUAAUCGCCAUAUAAUUCUAUACCUCCCGUCAAGUCUAUUACUGUACAAGCUAUUUCAUGGACACUUUUGUCUUUUCAUGUUCUCAUCUUCUUUUGUCUCUUCAUGUUCUCAGCUUCUUUUUCUCUGUUGAUUUCUUCAUCAGUCAUCACCGAUCAAAGUAUGAACAUAUGAUACCUACUAUCAGCAGUAAUCAACCCAAUCUCAUUUAAUUACCUCUCUAGUCAAGGAUCACAAUCUAUCUAGCACCUUCCGUGCCGAAAGCCCAAAAAACACAUUUCAUUUCACCAUCUUUGCCAUACUAUAAACCCAAAUAUUUCACCAUUCAUAUUCAUAGCAAACCCCCAAAUAAAGUCCCUUCAUUUUUUGAGUAUUUUCUCAUAUCCCACUAUUUUUUUUUCCCCCGAAACCUCCCACAACAUCCAUCCCACAAUUAAACCCCUCAAUCCAUCACCAUUCAAUAUCCAAAUUCUCUUCUCUCAAAUCCAUCAGACUUAUCCAAAUUAUCUAUCUUCAUCAGUUUAAUCUAAAAUUCUCAAUCCAACACUGAAACCCAAAUCCCCUCUCACUCAAUCCCAAUCACACAUCUCGUGCAUCCUAGAUCCAAAAUCACAAUAAUUAGAAUCAAAUCCAACAUGUAGAGACACCAGAGAUGAGAAAAUAUAGAGAAAGAGAUAGCCUUUUGGUUUCUUCGUCUUUUGGAGCAGGCAACUGCUCUCUUCUUCUUCCUCCUUGGCUCACUCCUUUGCAUCCCAUACUAAACUUCAGUCUUGCACAACGUCCUCUGGGUUUUGCUUUUGGGGGUCUGCUAUGAAUAUGGAUAGUGAAAUAUCUGGGUUUAUAGUAUGGCAAAGAUGGUGAAAUAAAAUGUGUGUUCUGGGCUUUCGGCACGGAAGGUGCCAGAUAGAUUGUGAUCCUUGAGGUAAUUAAAUGAGAUUGGGUUGAUUACUGCUGAUAGUAGGUAGCAUAUGUUCAUACUUUGAUCGGUGAUGACUGAUGAAGAAAUCAACAGAGAAAAAAGAAGCUGAGAACAUGAAAAGACAAAAAUGUCCAUAAAAUAAUUUGUACAGUAAUAAACUUGACGGUGUUAUAGACAGGAGGUAUAGAAAUUAUAUGGCGAUUAAUUGUUAAGGAAUGAACAUGAUAGUUUCCAAGUGGUGUACCAAAAUGAUAAAGGAACUUUAUUUGGGUACUUUUUAUAAAAUUUUCUCUUAGAAGUUAAAUGCUCCGGUCUCCAGAUGUAAAUCAUUGAGUGUGUAGGUCAUCAGCCAUGCCAUCAUGCAUAAGAGCUUGUCUGAUUGGUAUGGCCCUCCAGACUUUUAGAGGUUAAAUGCUCCAGUCUCCAGAUGUAAAUCAUAGAGUGUGUAGGUCAUCAGCCAUGCAAUCAAGCAUGGAAUUUUAUGUAUGACAUUAUUAUUUUAUUUGUUUAGUUUUAUUACUAGGGGAUUAUUUCCUUGUUUGAUCAUUUCUAGUUCGAUCUUGGAUCAAAGAACUGAAGGACCAUGCAGUUUAAACUAUAAAUAGAGCCCGCUAGCUUCUACAAAAUUAUAUCUCGAUCAUCAUCAGCACUUGCCACUGAUAGACAGUAGUAGGACUGGUACCAUGGCCAAUUAUCCAUACUCCUCCCCACCACCGCCGCCUUCACCGUGUAAUAACACAACUUCUCCGAUACUCCUUCCUCCACCUCCACCUCCACCUCCACCUCCACCUCCACCACCAGCAUGUAACCACACAUCUACUCCAACACUUUCACCUCCACCACAGUCUCACUA
rnacentral:lncRNA from 1 species